ensembl:lncRNA
GAGCAUUCCCAGGCUUAACCAACUUAUGCCUGGAAAUCCCAAGGCCAGAGUGAAUGUGGAAAACAAAGAUUGACUGAACAUCCCUAAGGGCGCUGGAGACACAGAGGAAAGGAGAACUUAGAACAGUACCUGACAUGCAAUAGACACACAGUUUUGAAGAAAGACUCCCGAUACGCCAAGGCUUGGUUAUGACCCGACUGAGAGCACUAUAGGAACUGAAGCACAUGGGGGCGUGCAGAAGGCAGACUUUGCAAGGACAGGAGAGGCAUGGAGACCAACCCUGGGCCUGGCCAUGAACACCGCGAGAAUGCAAAGCAUGUGACGUCUCACUUAGAGCUGAUGCAGAAGGGAAGUGACUCUGAAAUAUAGACCCUCUUGGCCUCUGGGGGAGAUUUAUGUGGCGAGCAUCACGCUCCUCAGAGAAAGACUGCAGCUCUACAUCAGAUCAUCAAGCGUUAGAUUCCGGAGGUCGGGGACCCCUGCCUUAUGCAAUUGUUCUUGCAGCUGCACCGGAAGAAGCUCAGAGAGAACAGGAAGUGUGUUGUCUACAGUAACACCUUGUUUGUCAAAUAAUAGUAAAGGAAGGACAAUUUUUCUUCAUUCAUUCAUUUAUUCCUCCAGUCAGGCAACAUCCAUUGUGUACUUAACCUUGUGCCAUGCAUGAUAUUAGCCAUUUGAUAAUAUAGAAAAGCAUAAUCUGAGGUCUCCAUCCUCAGGAAGGGUUCAACUUGAAAAUAAAAAUAGGUUCAGCACAAUGUGGUAAAUAAUAGCAGCAUCUUGAGGAUAACAGGGGUCCAGAGGAAGGCAGACUUAACUUCGGAGGAAAAGUCAUGGGGCCCAAGGAAAGUUUUAUUCAGUGAUGUCUAGGCUGAAUUUUAUCAUGUGCACGUACACUUGCCAAGGAGAAAGAUAAAAAUUUCAAACAACUGGAACUUAACCUUGUGUGUGCCGAAACUUUUCCCUUUACCAAUUGUGAAAAGAAGGGAAAACUUAUUUAAAAACACAAACACUGUAUCAAAGGCAUAGAGAAGUCAGACUGUCUAAAGUUAAAUUCCAGUUCUGCCACUUACCAGCCCUGGAAACGUGGACUGAUGGAUUAGCCUUUCUGCGCCUCAAUUUCCUAAUCUUUAAAGCAGGGGGAACAAUAGUACGUACUUCAUGUAGUAUUUUGGCUUCCCAUGUGGCUCAGUGGUAAAGAAUCUGCCUGCCAAUGCGGGAGCCGCGGGUAGGAUUCCUGGGUCAGGAAGAUCCCCUGAGGGAAGAAAUGGCAACCUACUCCAGCAUUCUCAUCAGGAUAAUCCAAUGGACCAAGCGGCCUUGUGGGCUACAGUCCAUGGGGUCGCAAAGAGUCAGAUGCGACCUGUAAAGACCUUAUAACAGUGCCUACCAUGUAAAAACCAUUGUAACCACAUACACACACAUUAAUAGGCAGUCCCACAUUGACACACAUUCUCAUAGACACACAUAGAUUGUCAUAAUUAUACUUGAUAGCAAAUGUUUAUUGAACAUUGUUUAUGUGCCAGUUAUCAUGCUAAGCACUAAAAAUAGAAAACAGAAAAACAGAGUCCCUGCCCCUAAGCAGCUCACCGUUUUUG